rnacentral:rRNA from 1 species
UGACAUAGGUAAGCCCACAUGAGGCCAGGCUUGUCUCGUCAGAUCUCAGAUGGUAAGCAGGGCUGGGCUUGGUUAGUACUUGGAUUGGAGACUGCUGGGAAAAUCAGAUGUCAC